rnacentral:rRNA from 1 species
UUAAGCGACUAAGCGUACACGGUGGAUGCCCUGGCAGUCAGAGGCGAUGAAGGGCGUGCUAAUCUGCGAUAAGCGCCGGUAAGGUGAUAUGAACCGUUAUAACCGGCGAUACCCGAAUGGGGAAACCCAGUGUGACUCGUCACACUAUCAUUAACUGAAUCCAUAGGUUAAUGAGGCGAACCGGGGGAACUGAAACAUCUAAGUACCCCGAGGAAAAGAAAUCAACCGAGAUUCCCCCAGUAGCGGCGAGCGAACGGGGAGGAGCCCAGAGCCUGAAUCAGCAUGUGUGUUAGUGGAAGCGUCUGGAAAGGCGCGCGAUACAGGGUGACAGCCCCGUACACAAAAGCGCAUGUGCUGUGAGCUCGAUGAGUAGGGCGGGACACGUGGUAUCCUGUCUGAAUAUGGGGGGACCAUCCUCCAAGGCUAAAUACUCCUGACUGACCGAUAGUGAACCAGUACCGUGAGGGAAAGGCGAAAAGAACCCCGGCGAGGGGAGUGAAAAAGAACCUGAAACCGUGUACGUACAAGCAGUGGGAGCCCCACCACCAAAGCAUUUGCUGUACCGCGUUGACGGAGCGAAGCGACGUCAAACCGAUAAAACAGCAGUGUAAAGUGAGCCGCAGGGCGCUUUGCGCGACAGCGCAAAGGCAGGCGGUUUCGCGUAGCGAAAGCGAAUGCUUUGGGGUGGGGUGACUGCGUACCUUUUGUAUAAUGGGUCAGCGACUUAUAUUCUGUAGCAAGGUUAACCGAAUAGGGGAGCCGGAGGGAAACCGAGUCUUAAUUGGGCGUUAAGUUGCAGGGUAUAGACCCGAAACCCGGUGAUCUAGCCAUGGGCAGGUUGAAGGUUGGGUAACACUAACUGGAGGACCGAACCGACUAAUGUUGAAAAAUUAGCGGAUGACCUGUGGCUGGGGGUGAAAGGCCAAUCAAACCGGGAGAUAGCUGGUUCUCCCCGAAAGCUAUUUAGGUAGCGCCUCGUGAAUUCAUCUCCGGGGGUAGAGCACUGUUUCGGCUAGGGGGCCAUCCCGGCUUACCAACCCGAUGCAAACUGCGAAUACCGGAGAAUGUUAUCACGGGAGACACACGGCGGGUGCUAACGUCCGUCGUGAAGAGGGAAACAACCCAGACCGCCAGCUAAGGUCCCAAAGUCAUGGUUAAGUGGGAAACGAUGUGGGAAGGCCCAGACAGCCAGGAUGUUGGCUUAGAAGCAGCCAUCAUUUAAAGAAAGCGUAAUAGCUCACUGGUCGAGUCGGCCUGCGCGGAAGAUGUAACGGGGCUAAACCAUGCACCGAAGCUGCGGCAGCGACACUGUGUGUUGUUGGGUAGGGGAGCGUUCUGUAAGCCUGCGAAGGUGGCCUGUGAGGGUUGCUGGAGGUAUCAGAAGUGCGAAUGCUGACAUAAGUAACGAUAAAGCGGGUGAAAAGCCCGCUCGCCGGAAGACCAAGGGUUCCUGUCCAACGUUAAUCGGGGCAGGGUGAGUCGACCCCUAAGGCGAGGCCGAAAGGCGUAGUCGAUGGGAAACGGGUUAAUAUUCCCGUACUUGGUGUUACUGCGAAGGGGGGACGGAGAAGGCUAUGUUGGCCGGGCGACGGUUGUCCCGGUUUAAGCGUGUAGGUGUGUGUUCCAGGUAAAUCCGGUUCACUUUAACACUGAGGCGUGACGACGAGGCACUACGGUGCUGAAGCAACAAAUGCCCUGCUUCCAGGAAAAGCCUCUAAGCAUCAGGUAACAUCAAAUCGUACCCCAAACCGACACAGGUGGUCAGGUAGAGAAUACCAAGGCGCUUGAGAGAACUCGGGUGAAGGAACUAGGCAAAAUGGUGCCGUAACUUCGGGAGAAGGCACGCUGACACGUAGGUGAAGUGAUUUACUCAUGGAGCUGAAGUCAGUCGAAGAUACCAGCUGGCUGCAACUGUUUAUUAAAAACACAGCACUGUGCAAACACGAAAGUGGACGUAUACGGUGUGACGCCUGCCCGGUGCCGGAAGGUUAAUUGAUGGGGUCAGCGCAAGCGAAGCUCCUGAUCGAAGCCCCGGUAAACGGCGGCCGUAACUAUAACGGUCCUAAGGUAGCGAAAUUCCUUGUCGGGUAAGUUCCGACCUGCACGAAUGGCGUAAUGAUGGCCAGGCUGUCUCCACCCGAGACUCAGUGAAAUUGAACUCGCUGUGAAGAUGCAGUGUACCCGCGGCAAGACGGAAAGACCCCGUGAACCUUUACUAUAGCUUGACACUGAACAUUGAGCCUUGAUGUGUAGGAUAGGUGGGAGGCUUUGAAGUGUGGACGCCAGUCUGCAUGGAGCCGACCUUGAAAUACCACCCUUUAAUGUUUGAUGUUCUAACGUGGACCCGUUACCCGGGUUGCGGACAGUGUCUGGUGGGUAGUUUGACUGGGGCGGUCUCCUCCUAAAGAGUAACGGAGGAGCACGAAGGUUGGCUAAUCCUGGUCGGACAUCAGGAGGUUAGUGCAAUGGCAUAAGCCAGCUUGACUGCGAGCGUGACGGCGCGAGCAGGUGCGAAAGCAGGUCAUAGUGAUCCGGUGGUUCUGAAUGGAAGGGCCAUCGCUCAACGGAUAAAAGGUACUCCGGGGAUAACAGGCUGAUACCGCCCAAGAGUUCAUAUCGACGGCGGUGUUUGGCACCUCGAUGUCGGCUCAUCACAUCCUGGGGCUGAAGUAGGUCCCAAGGGUAUGGCUGUUCGCCAUUUAAAGUGGUACGCGAGCUGGGUUUAGAACGUCGUGAGACAGUUCGGUCCCUAUCUGCCGUGGGCGCUGGAGAACUGAGGGGGGCUGCUCCUAGUACGAGAGGACCGGAGUGGACGCAUCACUGGUGUUCGGGUUGUCAUGCCAAUGGCACUGCCCGGUAGCUAAAUGCGGAAGAGAUAAGUGCUGAAAGCAUCUAAGCACGAAACUUGCCCCGAGAUGAGUUCUCCCUGAGACUUAAAGUCUCCUGAAGGAACGUUGAAGACGACGACGUUGAUAGGCCGGGUGUGUAAGCGCAGCGAUGCGUUGAGCUAACCGGUACUAAUGAACCGUGAGGCUUAACCUU